AAAAUAGCAGGGUUUGCUGGGUUGUUCCCCACACACACCCCUUCCCUUAAAUAAAGAGAAGGAACUUAACCUGGUCAAAGCUACAACAGUAUUCAUCGCAAGCACUUCUGAGGCAUCCAUUGGCAUGAACAGCAUUCAGAAGAAACUGAUUCCUGCUUCCUAAUACUGAAUGUGACAGCUUCUGCAGACUACAUAGGCUGGAAAAGGAGGAAGAGAAAGCAGGGAGCAACACAAAGGCCAAACAUCCUCAGUAUGCUGCACCAUCUAUGACUUGAAAAGGGAGAAGGGACAUGCUGGAAGUUAAAGGAGAUGAGAAUCUGAGUGGCCACUUGGGAACUUCAUGUGUCAGAAUGACAGAGCACCGGUAUUGGGAAAGAUGGCGAGAGAAGGAAGCACAAUGAAUGUGAGAAAACUAAAGAGGUGUGGAUGCUUAGAGACUGUUUACAUUUCUAGGUUGGGAAAUUCCUGUAAUUUGUUUGCGUUUUUUUCUAUCAUGUUCAGGUUAAACUUGUCCUUUGCACUAAGGCACAAACUACAAAAUGCCUGGGAAGUGUUACUGAUCUCGUUCCUUGCAGACCUCCCCAGUCAAAGCUUGUCCUUUCCAUUGAGGGCAGCUCUUGCACUUUCUGUGCAGGCCUCUCAUGUGACUGGUCUGGGAUGCUUUGAAUCCCCAACUCCUACAUUCCUCAGAUCAAAUUUUCACCUUUUUAA